GAUGAACGCUGGCGGCGUGCCUAAUACAUGCGAGUCGAGCGAACAGACGAGGAGCUUGCUCCUCUGACGUUAGCGGCGGACGGGUGAGUAACACGUGGAUAACCUACCUAUAUGACUGGGAUAAUUUCGGGAAACCGGAGCUAAUACCGGAUAAUAUAUUGAACCGCAUGGUUCAAUAGUGAAAGACGGUUUUGCUGUCACUUAUAGAUGGAUCCGCGCCGCAUUAGCUAGUUGGUAAGGUAACGGCUUACCAAGGCAACGAUGCGUAGCCGACCUGAGAGGGUGAUCGGCCACACUGGAACUGAGACACGGUCCAGACUCCUACGGGAGGCAGCAGUAGGGAAUCUUCCGCAAUGGGCGAAAGCCUGACGGAGCAACGCCGCGUGAGUGAUGAAGGUCUUCGGAUCGUAAAACUCUGUUAUUAGGGAAGAACAAAUGUGUAAGUAACUAUGCACGUCUUGACGGUACCUAAUCAGAAAGCCACGGCUAACUACGUG
rnacentral:rRNA from 1 species